UACAGAGGCCUCAAGCGUUGUUCGGAUUCAUUGGGCGUAAAGGGUGCGUAGGUGGCUUGGUAAGUUGAAGGUGAAAUCUCGGGGCUUAACUCCGAAACUGCCUUCAAUACUGCUGAGCUCGAGGACUGUAGAGGAGAAUGGAAUUCACGGUGUAGCAGUGAAAUGCGUAGAUAUCUGGAGGAACACCGGUGGCGAAGGCGGCAUCCUGGACCGACACUGACGCUGAGGCGCGAAAGCCAGGGGAGCAAACGGG
rnacentral:rRNA from 1 species